CAAAAUGUUGAGUUUCAGGAGUUUCUCAAUAGAUGCACCGAGUGGCUGAACCUGCCCUCAGCGGCCCGCAGACUCUUCGAGGAGGACGGGAAGGAGGCGUUCCAGCUCGCCGGACUGCAGAGAGACCAGCUGGUGUACGUGUCAUGUGGGGAGCCGUGGGUGAGCCCUCAGCACAGACAGACAGAGGCCCAGAGACGCGUGGCAGCGCUGCGGCUGGAGUGGGACGUGGCCCGCAUACGGCACUACUGCGCCCUGAGGAGCCCCCGCGACUUUGUCCUUGAUGUUGAAGGACAGCCACAGGAGGGCUCUGCUCUUCUAGUGCGGCCGUACCGCCUCAGCCCCGAAGACACGACCCCUGAGCAGAGUCAAGCCUCUCAAGAGCGUUCGGCCUCCUCCUCCGACUCCUCCGACUU